rnacentral:rRNA from 1 species
AGCAGUCGCCACGGUAAUACGAAGGGUGCAAGCGUUAAUCGGAAUUACUGGGCGUAAAGCGUGCGUAGGCGGUUUGUUAAGUCUGCUGUGAAAUCCCCGGGCUCAACCUGGGAAUGGCAGUGGAUACUGGCAAGCUAGAGUGUGUCAGAGGAUGGUGGAAUUCCCGGUGUAGCGGUGAAAUGCGUAGAGAUCGGGAGGAACAUCAGUGGCGAAGGCGGCCAUCUGGGACAACACUGACGCUGAGGCACGAAAGCGUGGGGAGCAAACAGGAUUAGAUACCCCAGUAGUCCCUGUCUCUUAUAC